AUUGAACGCUGGCGGCAGGCCUAACACAUGCAAGUCGAACGGUAACAGGAAGCAGCUUGCUGCUUUGCUGACGAGUGGCGGACGGGUGAGUAAUGUCUGGGAAACUGCCCGAUGGAGGGGGAUAACUACUGGAAACGGUAGCUAAUACCGCAUAACGUCGCAAGACCAAAGAGGGGGACCUUAGGGCCUCUUGCCAUCGGAUGUGCCCAGAUGGGAUUAGCUAGUAGGUGGGGUAACGGCUCACCUAGGCGACGAUCCCUAGCUGGUCUGAGAGGAUGACCAGCCACACUGGAACUGAGACACGGCCCAGACUCCUACGGGAGGCAGCAGUGGGGAAUAUUGCACAAUGGGCGCAAGCCUGAUGCAGCCAUGCCGCGUGUAUGAAGAAGGCCUUCGGGUUGUAAAGUACUUUCAGCGGGGAGGAAGGGAGUAAAGUUAAUACCUUUGCUCAUUGACGUUACCCGCAGAAGAAGACCCGGCUAAAUCCGUG
rnacentral:rRNA from 1 species